AGGCUUUAGCAGAGGGAAGGGCCCCUGCAGAAGGGGACCAUGAAGAGGCCAGAAUUAUUCUAGGACAGAGAGAAAGCAGUUUUAGGAAGGAUCUGCAGUGGUUGCUGUUCAAUAAGUAUGUGCCUUCACUUAUUCAAGAUGGUCCACAAUGUGGUCUUGUGGCCUUAUGGAUGGCGACUCAUCUUCUGCAGCCUCCUAAGACAGUGGUGCUGGAGACACUGGUCCAGGUGGCAAAAGACAACGGCUACACUAAACAAGGAGAAA